CGGUGUGUUUCUAGAUGUUGAUGCAUAUUUGGAGAAUGUUACAUGUCAUUAUCUGCUGAAGUAAAAGCAAAAAUCGUUGCUGAUAACCAACAAUCUGA
rnacentral:ncRNA from 1 species